rnacentral:rRNA from 1 species
UGGGGAAUAUUGCACAAUGGGCGCAAGCCUGAUGCAGCAACGCCGCGUGAACGAUGAAGGUCUUCGGAUCGUAAAGUUCUGUUGCAGGGGAAGAUAAUGACGGUACCCUGUGAGGAAGCCCCGGCUAACUACGUGCCAGCAGCCGCGGUAAUACGUAGGGGGCUAGCGUUAUCCGGAUUUACUGGGCGUAAAGGGUGCGUAGGUGGUCUUUCAAGUCGGUGGUUAAAGGCUACGGCUCAACCGUAGUUAGCCUCCGAAACUGGAAGACUUGAGUGCAGGAGAGGGAAGUGGAAUUCCCAGUGUAGCGGUGAAAUGCGUAGAUAUUGGGAGGAACACCAGUAGCGAAGGCGGCUUUCUGGACUGCAACUGACACUGAGGCACGAAAGCGUGGGUAGCAAACAGG